CUCAUUCAUUCUCUUUCAACUUUAUCAAUAACUGCUUAUGCUUCAAUAAAAAAACCCACCUCCUUGUCUCCAUAACGAAGCUGAAUACCUUCGAUGGUCUCAGUCAAACCUAAGAAGAACCUGUUGUCGAAAUCCAUCGAGCUUUAGACCACCGUGCUUUGAAGUCAGCUAAAGGGUUUGCAUUGAAGGUUGCACUGUUGUGGAACAUUGAAAUCUAGGUGAGUAAAUGGUGCCUCGUAUUCUCAUUACUAGACUAUCUGCGUCCUUCACACACCACAGAAGCAUCCAAUUCCAAUUGGGUUCUCUGCUGCAACACAAGCACAAUGCUUUUCUUUUUAGGUUUAACACAUUCACCUCUGGUGGGGACACCCGCAAAGGUGACACCUUUACCGUGCUUUACCUCAUCAACUCAUGUGGGUUGUCCCUGGAAUUGGCCAGGAAAGUCUCCAAGAGUGUGAAUUUGAAAACCCCAGAUGGUCCAAAUGCUGUUAUUAACACUCUCAAGAACUAUGGAUUCUCCGAAACUCAGGUUGCAAAACUUGUCGAGAAGAAUCCCCGUGUGCUUGCUGCAAAGGUGGAGAAGACCCUUUUGCCCAAACUCAAGUUCUUCCACUCUAUUGGGGUUCCCAACACUGACUUGCCUAAGAUCGUGAAUGAAUGUCCUUCAAUCUUGCGGAGGAGUCUGGGAAAAUGCCUUCUGCCACGAUACGAGAUUAUCAGGAGUAUAGUUCGUGACGAUCUGGAAGUUGUUAGAAUUUUGAGAAAAUCUCCAGUUGGUUUCAUAAUGUGUGACCUAAAGAAAUGCUUGAUUCCAAACAUUAAGGUUUUGAGGCAGUCUGGGGUUCCUCAGGGUUCAAUCUCUCUGCUGAUGGNCAACUUCCCCUCUGCAACAUUGGUGAAGCAUUCCAGAUUUGUUAAAGUUGUCGAGAGAAUUAAGAAAUUGGGGUUUGACCCUACGAGAACAAGUUUUGUCAUGGGUGUCCAAGUGCUUUUAACGAUGCGUAAAGCGGCAUGGGAAUCGAGAUUUGAGAUUUAUAAGAGGUGGGACUGGAACAGGGAAAUAGUUCUUCAGGCGUUUCUGAAGUAUCCCAAUUUUAUAAAAUUGACCGAGGAGACAAUUACGAAAAAAAUGACUUUUCUAGUUAAGGAUAUGGGUUUGCCAUCAUUGGAAGUUGCCGCAUAUCCUCCAGUUCUAGUCUACAACUUGGAGAAGAGGAUUAUCCCUAGAUUCUCAAUAAUUAAAAUCUUGAAAUCAAAAGGUUUGGUCAGGAGGAGUUUGAGUUUUGGUUACUAUAUGGGCAUUAAGGAGAAUGUUUUUUUGAAGAAAUAUGUCGAUAGCUUUAAGGAACAUUUGCCUCUCUUACCAGAUGUCUACAAAGGAUUGAUUCAUCGUGAUAAUGUAAUGUAGACUUUGAAGUAGCAUAUACUGUUGUUUGGAAAGAUCGAGUGUCGUGCUCUUUCUCAUUGAAUGAAGCAUUUGCCUUAGGCAAAGGUUUUAGCAGAAGAGAUGUUAAGGCACAGCUUUGUUUCCUGAAGUUUUUUAGGAGCUGCUUCUAGUUUAAAAGGUUGCACCAUCUACAAGUAUUAUGGAGUGGGAUGUUUAACCCAUGGAAACCAGAAGUUGAAGCAGACCUGUUAUUGCAAAAACCAUUUCAUGUGUGUGAAAUGUGAAUGGUAUUCUUGGGAGGGAGGGAGUUUUGUGAAAAAAGUGGGCUCAUAGCAAAUGAUGAUGAUGACGCCAAACUUGAACCUGGAACCUGAAGAAGAUUUCAAAAUCUGCAGCCAAGUUGGAUCAAAUGUAUUGCUGCAAGAAAAACCACAAGAUUUUUUGGACAACACCAUAAGAUUUUUGGGUAACACCUCACCGGUUCCGAUAGGGAACUUGGUCUCCAUUCUUGAAGGGUUGUUGAACACCAAGUCAAUGAAAAAAUAAAGCCAGAAACUUUGAACCCAAGUCUUUAUAAAUUCUUUAUUGCAGACACUUUUCAUACUGGAUAUAUAUUCUUUUCUAUGCGAUUGCAAGUUUCUGGUGCCUUAAAUCCCUGUUACUCUUCUUCCAUCACCAACCACAUAUCAAAAUCUGCACACACCUCCGCCGUAAUGGAAGAGAGCAUAAUUACCUUUGUUUUAUGGCAUGGAGGAUAAAGUCCAAUCCCUCCAGUACGAACUUCAUGGGGGCUUAUGCACUAUGAACGCAAUUUCAUCAAGAAUCUGUGUUGAAGCUGGUUGUUGAA